CUACCCGCUACCCGCUACCCGCUACCCGCAAUGGCUCCUUUCUUGACUAAGUCUUCUGAGGACACCUGGGUUCCCUCACAGGGCAGACUCUCAGGUUUUUCUGUUAGCUUUCUGUCAUGGACGAUACAAGUUGUGCAUCAGUACAUGGGAAGUGUUUCUCACCUGCUGGUCUGUAUGGAAGCAAUAGGCGAGCCAGGUGCCAAUAGUGAUGGAGAAGAAAUACAUAGGGGGCUCUGUGAGAAUGUGCAAAAUACUCUGCUCCCUGUCCUGAUGAGUCCAUCUCCAAGGUGGAAGAAUUUAAACUUAAAGGAGAAUUCUGAACUCAUCUUUAUCACCUAUAUGCAUGCUGAUAAUGGCCACUGAAUUUCUCAGAGUUCGUUGGGUACGCUUUUCUAGGGAAAAUACGGGACAUCUGCCUUUCCUGGAGCAUGCCUGGCCCUGCUGGAAGCUGGUAUUAGAGGCUCUAGCAAGAACUCUAGCAAGAGCGUGUACACAAGGACCUCACAGAAUCUCACACGCAAGUCACAAGAUGGCCUAAGUAGGGAAAGAGAGGCUGUGAAGUGAGUCACAAGGGAGAGACAAUUGAGGAAGACACCUGAUGUCAACCUCUGACUUCCACUUGGGCUUUCCCAGGCCUCAGAUGUGGUGGAGAAGCUUGUUGAAGUGUGAGGGAAACAAGGACAGUUGCCACUUGGAAGCAA
rnacentral:lncRNA from 1 species